rnacentral:rRNA from 1 species
CGUACACUCCUACGGGAGGCAGCAGUAGGGAAUCUUCGGCAAUGGGGGCAACCCUGACCGAGCAACGCCGCGUGAGUGAAGAAGGUUUUCGGAUCGUAAAGCUCUGUUGUAAGUCAAGAACGAGUGUGAGAGUGGAAAGUUCACACUGUGACGGUAGCUUACCAGAAAGGGACGGCUAACUACGUGCCAGCAGCCGCGGUAAUACGUAGGUCCCGAGCGUUGUCCGGAUUUAUUGGGCGUAAAGCGAGCGCAGGCGGUUUGAUAAGUCUGAAGUUAAAGGCUGUGGCUCAACCAUAGUUCGCUUUGGAAACUGUCAAACUUGAGUGCAGAAGGGGAGAGUGGAAUUCCAUGUGUAGCGGUGAAAUGCGUAGAUAUAUGGAGGAACACCGGUGGCGAAAGCGGCUCUCUGGUCUGUAACUGACGCUGAGGCUCGAAAGCGUGGGGAGCGAACAGGAUUAGAAACCCUAGUAGUCCCA